AGUGAACGCUGGCGGUAGGCCUAACACAUGCAAGUCGAACGGCAGCACAGUAAGAGCUUGCUCUUACGGGUGGCGAGUGGCGGACGGGUGAGGAAUACAUCGGAAUCUACUUUUUCGUGGGGGAUAACGUAGGGAAACUUACGCUAAUACAGCAUACGACCUACGGGUGAAAGCAGGGGAUCUUCGGACCUUGCGCGAGUGAAUGAGCCGAUGUCGGAUGCGCUAGUUGGCGGGGUAAAGGCCCACCACGGCGACGCUCCGUAGCUGGUCUGAGAGGAUGAUCAGCCACACUGGAACUGAGACACGGUCCAGACUCCGACGGGAGGCAGCAGUGGGGAAUAUUGGACAAUGGGCGCGAGCCUAAUCCAGCCAUACCGCGUGGGUGAUGAAGGCCCUCGGGUUGUAAAGUCCUUUUGUUGUGAGAGAAAAGCAGCAGGUUAAUCCCCCGCUGUUCUGACGGUACCCAAAGAAUAAGCACCGGCUAACUUCGUG
rnacentral:rRNA from 1 species